UCAGGCUUCACCAGUAUACCGUCGAAAUAUUGUCGUGCAGAGAAUAGAUUGCUUGGAUGACGUCUUUAUAUAUUUUCCUAACAUGAUUUAUGUGCCAUAGCCUACAUGCAUCGAUAAGAACUAUACAUAUACUAUUCAACUAUACUAUACAACUAUACAUACGUUCAUGUACGCGUAAAAUGUAAAUGCGUCAGUCACACCAUGCCAUAAGAAUUACAUUGUAAAAACAUCCAGAGAUUCUCCCUAUGGAAAUGUUCCACUGAAGUUUACAUAGCUCCAUGCUCGAUUGCUCUUCCUGGCUACUUCAUCAUGUGGCUGACUCCUUGUUCGCAGGGAAUUGCCAAUGUCCGAGCCUUGAGCUGACGCUGAGCCCGGCGACAAUCACCGAGGUCUCUCGUAUCUUCUACCAUGGGUUCGCUCUCGUCCCGGUGCCCACCUUGGCCGCCGCGACAUUGCACCUGGCGCUGGGCUCGCAGGUGAUUCCGGGAACACCUCCAAGUGUCGCCUUCAUCAAUGGGGCACCUGUCACCUUGUCCGUCCAGAAUGUGGACUGUCAGUAGAGGUGGGCCGGGGAAAUUGUAUGUGUGUCCUACCUGGGUCAGUUCACCUCAGAGGCAGGGAUUGAACUGCAGUCAGAUGCACAUCCACAACCCCUUCUGCUGGAGAAUGACAUGUCAUCCCUACAUGCCAGUGUGGAGCUCCCCUGUCUCCCCCCCCUGCCCCCUGUCUGCUACUGGAGGAGGACCAGGAACCACUGGAGUCUUAUACACAGAUUGAGCCAAAGGUGGAGAGAAUGCAAUAACACUCAUCUCCAUACACACAGAAACGUAAAGGUGGGUGGCCAAAGGCAAAGAAGAGGCAACCUCAGAGAGGGUUAACUGCCCCCAGAGUUCCAACAACAGGAGGAGUUUGAGAAGGACAGAGGCAGCCGGCAGCAUGCUCCAGGGAUGGAGAGAAGCCCUGUGGGUGAGGAAGAGGAGGCAGAGUUGGCUCGUACGUUGGGUCUGUCCUCUCUGGACAUCAGUGUGCCGCAGGAGCUGCUGCUCAGACACAUACUGACCAGCACUGACCGCUAAUUGCCAUGACCACAUUUAUGACUUGGACAAAGCCCAUUUCUAAAAAGGCUGAAGCUGCGGAUCCAUAGCUAACCUCCCCGUCCCGUCCCGCCUGCCUGGAUCCGUUUUCCCCAGAGCUGAAGAGCCGAAUCACGUUCUGCGCAUGUGUUUCUUUACCUGAAUUUAGAUCUUGAGUUAUACGGUGUUGUUUUGAAUUAUGGACAGUGAUUGUUUCCACCAACUGCUCUAAAAUUCAAUCUGUCGGAUAGUCUACCUGUGUUUAGUUUCAAUCACAGCACAUAAAUGUGACCAUUUGCACAAACAUCCUAAAGUUUCAUAAGAAAUUAGGUUGUUUUCUGUCUUACGGUAACCUUAUACUAUGCUAUUAUAUUUGGUUAUGUUAUAUAGAAUCAAUAAGUGAUCUUGCAGACAUUGAUUCAGCUUUGAUAUAACUUUAUUAAACAAAUACCAUUUAUGUCA